rnacentral:rRNA from 1 species
UGCCAGCAGCCGCGGUAAUACGUAGGUGGCAAGCGUUGUCCGGAUUUAUUGGGUUUAAAGGGUGCGUAGGCGGUCUUUUAAGUCAGUGCUGAAAUAUCCCGGCUUAACCGGGAGGGUGGCAUUGAUACUGAAGGACUUGAGUAAAGUUGAGGUAGGCGGAAUUGACGGUGUAGCGGUGAAAUGCUUAGAUAUCGUCAAGAACACCGAUAGUGUAGACAGCUUACUAAGCUUUAACUGACGCUGAGGCACGAAAGUGUGGGGAUCAAACAGGAUUAGAUACCCUGGUAGUCCACACUGUAAACGUUGAUGACUCGAUGUUAGCGAUACACAGUUAGCGUCUUAGAGAAAUCGUUAAGUCAUCCACCCUGGGGAGUACGCCGGCAACGGUGAAACUCAAAGGAAUGACGG